rnacentral:rRNA from 1 species
AUCAUAGAAUGAUGGGAGGAAGGUAUGUUCGAUCUCGGUUGAAGUUUUAUAGCCUCUGGUGGAUGUGAUGAUCGGGAUUGAGGAUUGCAACGAAUACCUUUUAGGCUACCCGCCUGAUCUCUGAUGGUUGCUAUGGUGCCGAAAGCUUGCUUACGGUUAUCAGAGUUGAUUGUCAAAAGGUUAGAACGGGUUAAAUUCGUUAAGGAUGUUGACGUAAUGGCUUUAAACGACCCGUCUUGAAACA